GAGGGAGGCAGAGACAGAAGAACUGCACAGACUCUUUCUGGUCAGCUACAGUACAUGGCCGGCCAGAAACAAGAAAGAUCCAGCCUUAAAGAGGCAGCGAGAGAGCCAGCUUCCAAACAUUGUCUCCGACUCUCACACGCACACACGGCAAAUGCUGUGCCCCACACCCCAUCACACAAUGGCAGCAUACUUGAGCACUGUAUCUGAGGCUGUAGACGGCGAAUAGGUGCCUGGGACGAUGCGCAACAUCAGCUGCCAGUGCACUAGGGAAACACCAGCGGCAGCUGCAAAGCAGUCAGUGGAGUGAGGAGCUGCCACGUCAACAAAACCAAAAAUGGGGUGAUCUUUCAGAGAAGACAGUCCACCAGGAACUGGAGGAAUAAUGAGGAGGUGUGACAUUCUGCAACUCACACUCUUCACCUGAAACAAGAUGCUUUCAACACGGUUGCUAUGGCGAUUAAACAAGCUAACAUCUGGUCAACAUUUAAAACAAGGACCAGCAACAUGGCUUGAUGGCCUCUGGUGCUGUCCCCCACUCUUUGUCUCUGUUCCUGAGACCCUGCAACAGUCCAUUCCUUCGGGAUCGUGUUCAGCAGUUAAAGAACUUGGAGAGGCCUGGACUGACUGGAACACUCCAUGAACCUACAUCCUCAUUGUUUUAAAAUAAACCUACGAAACAGCGGUGGCCGCCGACAGUGUUUGUAACAUCCUUCUUGGCACAGAGGCUGCAUUCUCUCAAGAAUACCCAGAUGCUGCAGUUUUGCCUUCAGUAAAACCCAAAGCUGCAUAAAAUAAAGACUGAAGAUGAAUGUGGGGCAGUGGCCCUAGGGCACAGAAGGGCAUCCAGCCUCCGGAAGCUUGCAGUCCUGCCCUUCCUGGUGUGCUCAGCUGUUCUUUGGUGGCCCGACCUGUGGUUCCCAGCUAUCUCAAAGUUUCUGCUGGCUCGGAGUUAUGUACUUAUGUACAUGAUUGGCUACCACAUGAGCCCAUUUCACAGAUCUUGAAAACAGAGUAAUGUAGAAUUAGGUAACAAAGUAUUGUUGAACAUCUGAGAUGAAAAAGAAUGUAUAGAAAAAAAUGAUUGAUUGAACAUAGUAUAACCAAGAGAGACGAAAGUAUGACACCGGGGUGGAAAGGGACUUGGUGGGUUGGAUGCUCACUGCGUGUGCAUGAGUGUGGCCACAUGUGACUGUGCCACCAUCACUGUCGGGGUGGAAACAGAGGCACCUCUGGGGCUUGCUGACUGCCAGCCUAGCUCCAGGUUCAGUGAGAGAUCCUGUGUCAGGCAAAUAAGGCAGAGAGCGACUGACCGAUAAAGCAGGCCACUGGCUGACCUCCUUUGGCUUCUGCACAUAUUCAUGGACACCACACAUACUACAUACACGUGCACCACACACAUACACACACCACAUACUUUUUUUAAAAGAUACUCAACAUUACACAUGCCUGUAGCUAGACUGUUCCACAUUUGUAAGCUACUCAAAAUGGAAUUUAGAUGCUGUCCAGUACACACAACUCAGAACUCAGAGGCAUGUUUUACGUCAGGAGGGUAAAACUGUUGGAUACUCUUGAAGAACAGAGCUUGACUAACUGUCCCUCAUCUCGUUAACAAAACAUCAAUUCCUUAGACCUUGCUGACACCAACAGAAAAGCAAGUGUCCUCCCACCCCCAACUUACCUCCCGCUUGUUCCUGAUAAGAAUCAAAAGGCUGUAACUCUUCCUAAGAACACAGGUCAGGGUCCCCAGGUUCAAUCCUGCAAGCUGCUUCCAUUGCAUACUGACCCUAGGACAGGAUCAUUCUGAAAAUGAUUUGUAGUGAAUUAUGUUUGGCGUGAGCGAGCGAGUGUAAUGACAUCCGCAGCAAUAAGAACACAUGCCUAGGGUUAUAGGACCCAAGUCAUGUUAACACGUGCUGAUCCGUGGCUACUCGAAGGAUGAUACUGUGGGCUAACCCGUGGGAUUUUUGCCCAUGUGAUGCUCACCAACACUGUUGCUGCCCCACGCUCCCAUUCCCCAGUUUCUAGCAUGUGUUCUCCCGAGAUGCCCUCGUUUACUGUAUCCUAAAUUAACAAGCCAUGUGCAAAACUAAGCUCACUAAAUAAUCCAGACUGACUAAGCAAUAUCUCAGGUACCCCACUUCCAGCCUGCCCUGCUGAAUCAGCCUGCUUUCUAGGGGGCUGCAGAUAUAAAUCCUUACCUCUGCGGGGACUUUGGAAGAUGUCUUGGUUUACAUUUUUUACUGGGCUCUCUUUCAUAUUUCAAAUGAAAGGCUUUGUUUAAAUAUCUACGGUUCAAUCUUCCUAACAGAUGCACAGUGUAGAGCAAUAAAUCCAUAACCUAAUUGCUUUUGCCUUCAUCAACAGAUACAGAAUAAAAUAUCUUUUGUUGUCAUCAAUCUGCUGCAUAUGGCUUACUGCAGCAACAAACGA